GCCUCCGUGGCGCAAUCGGCUAGCGCGUUCGGCUGUAAACUCAAUGGUUGAUGGUUCGAGCAAACCCAGGGGCG
rnacentral:tRNA from 1 species